rnacentral:rRNA from 1 species
GGCACAUGAGGANANUGGACAUGGANGAAACUCUGAUCCAGCCUGCCGCGUGCAGGAUGACUGCCCUAUGGGUUGUAAACUGCUUUUAUANAGGAAGAAACACUCCCACGUGUGGGGNCUUGACGGUACUNUAUGAAUAAGGAUCGGCUAACUCCGUGCCAGCAGCCGCNGGUAAUAU